rnacentral:lncRNA from 1 species
CUACCAUAUUUCUUCACUGGCAUAACCCAGUGUCAUACAAAUUCACCUUCGGGGUGAUGUUUAUGCCUGCGGCCGAUUAUGAUACCCCUAGUUGAGAACAUCAUUGUUUUGAUUUACAGGAUUCUUUGGAUUUACCUUCAGGCGUUUCGGUAUCACUUUUAUAGAUGAUUUUAUUGUUUACAAACAUUUUUGGCAUGUUAGGAUUUUCAGAAAAACCUAUUAUGUAGUAUUAUAUAUGUUUUCAAAACAGGGGUUAGUAUGUUCAGAAAGAAAUUGGUUUUCUUAUUAUUAUUACUUAUAUUAAACUAUGGUCCACUCACCUUUUUUUUUUGCGCCCCCUUCAGGAUUUAGAAUUGAGGCAUACGAUUCCAGCGUCAGGGUACUCCCACAUUAGUAUCUUCGAGUCUUCUCAAUGUAGGACCCCUCUCCUUUCUUCGUACCUUUUGAUCGGAUGAUAUUUAUAUAUAUUUUUACUUCGAAUUCACUCGUCUUUUCUUAGUUAGUUCCUUAUAUUUUUGAGCUAUUUACGUUAUUUUUGUGUUUAUAGGAUCUGUUAUGCAAAUUUACCCUUUAUUGUCAAAUGAUAAUACUAAUUUACAUUUUAUAAACAAUGUUUGUCCCUCUCUAUGUCUAUAUAUUGAAAGAAAAGCAAAAAAAAUAAUAAUAAGAAGUGAGGAGAAACGGUGGGAAAGUGAGGGUCAGAGAAAUAAAGGGAGCUGCCCUUUUGGGCAGCGUGAAAGUGGAAAGGCAGAAGCAGGAAAUAAUGAGAAGUGGGGAAAAUAAUAGAACAAAGGUGAGGAAGGAGACACGGGACCCAGGGAGGACAGCACGUGAAAGGAUCCAAGAGAGAGACUGGUGAGCAGCUGGCGUGGGAAAGUCAGAAAGGAGAGGCCACACGGGAAGCUGCCCUUGGGGGCAGCGGGAAAGAAAGAAAGCACUGCACAGGGGGGGUCUGGAAGCGGUAGAAGGGAGCUGCCCUUUGGCAGCUCGCUCGCAGAGACGCAGGAAGGAGGCUGCCUUUGGGCAGCGUGGAAAACCAGAAAAAUAAGAGAGAGGUCAGCACGGGAAGAGAGGUCAGUACGGUCAGAGAGGGUCAGUACGGGAGAGAGAGGAUAGACGGGAGGCGCGAGUGAGAAGGAGCUUAGCUGGCCUUGCAGCUUUGAAAAACGAAAAAAAAAACAGAAACGAAAGAGGAGAGACCGGGGGGGUGUCAGGGAGAACCAAAGGCAGACAGCUGCCUUGCGGCAGCAGAUAGCACGGACAGAAGAGAGAGGCAGGGCGCAGCAAUUAAGGAGCAUGCAGAAAAUAAGAGAGGGAACGCGGAAAGGAAAGAAAAGAGGGGUGUCAGUGAGCACAGCGCCAGGAGGUCAGGAAGAAGGCAGAAUGAAGGAGGUCAGCGCACAGGAAGCAGAAACACUCUCGCUCUCGGUUAAAUCUUUCCAAACUUCUAUUUUAUUUCUGUUUUAAUAAUGUGUAAUUAAAUUUUAUUUUGGCUAGAGGUUAAUUCAAAACCAUGAAUAUAUUUUUAAUAUGAAUUGAUUACCUUCAGUUGUGAGUUAUAAGUUGUGAAUUCAAUUUACUUAUCCGUUCGUAUAAAAACUGAUUUGUGUAUGUUGGUUGAGAGUGCACGCUUAAUUUACAUGCAUGAAUUUGAUGCUAGAAUAUAAGUGAAUUUCACCUAAUCGUUAUGAACUUAUUUUCACAAGUAGUAAAGGUUGCUAGUCACAAUCACGUUAAGUAAAUUCUUGGCAAGAGUAUCAUGCUUUUCAUAGUUACGAAUGCCUCGUCAAUGCUUAUAGUUUUCACAAAGUUUAAUGAUCUUUGAUUGUAUCUCUAUUGUGCUUUUCACGUAGGGGACUUUUGAAGAAUGUUUUGAAUUGUUGUAUGCGUUUUCCCGUCCAAUUCAAUAACUUAAGGAAAACUUGAAGAUUAAAAAAGUGCUGUUCACGGUUAAUCUGGAGUAUUGAAAUUUACAAUUUAUUAAAAGAACAACUGGAAAUCAUUUUGUAUGCAAGUAUAACAUGUGUGGAGAAGAACCCUCUAGCUAGUCCGUCAUUUAUCAUUUUACCUUAAUUUUAUGUUUUUGUCAAUUCUGUAAUUUAAUUAAGUUUAAUUUACUUUUCAUCAAAACCAAACACCCAUCCAUUAUUAAAUUAUAUUAUUUAUUUAGUUUUCUUUAUUGUUAGUCUUUUAAUUUAAUUUCCGUCCAUUUCAGUUCCUAGUGUUUAAUUUAAUUGUUUUCAUUAUUUUGAGUCAUUUUAAGUGUGUUUCGAGUUAUUAGAGUUUUUAGCCUAAUUUUGUGUCCUUGAGUCUUGUUUAAUAUUUUUAAGUUAAUUUAGAAUAGAUUAGCAAUCCCUCCUAAUCCCCGGCCUAGAACGAUACCCUACUUACAUACUUUACUACAUUUGAUAAAAAGAGGGUUUAAUUUUGUGUGUCAAGUAAUUCUCACAUCAAAUUUUGGCGCCGUUGCCGGGGAUUAGUAACUUUGCUAAUCCUUUUAUUUUUGUUUUUGUUUAUGUUUAUAUUGGUGUUUGUGUAUUUUACUUUUGAUAUUUGAUUUAUUUUUCUUUCUUUGAUUUUAGGCACAAAUGGAGCUGAGGGAAAUUUAAAGGAAAGAUGCGUCCGGCUAAAGACGUUAAAUCAAGCGCUUCUUGGGAGGCAACCCAAGCAUUCAACGAAGGGAGACUUUGGAAUCGCUAACCCAAUCAGAUUUGCAUUUUUACACCCUUAUCUUUACUGCUUUCAUUUUGUUUUGUUUAGUUAGUUGUGUUAUUUGGUUGAUUUCUGUGAGUUUGUAUUACUUAGUUUAAGUGUGGGGGAAGGUUAACCAAAGUCUCUUUACAUUAAUUUACAUAAAAAAAAAAAAACAAUUAAAAAAAAAAAAAAAAAAAAAGAUAAAAUUUAAAAUUAAUGAUAAAAAAAAAAAAAAAAAACAAUUAAAAAAUCAAAAAAAAAAAAAAUACAUAAAAAAAAAAAAAAAAAAAAAAAAAAUUAAAAUUAAAAUUUUACAAUGAUGUAAACUAAUAGUAUUCAUUGGUCGGGUGGUGCUUCAGUAGUAGGCGGGGCUUCAGCAGUCGGCGGGGCCACAGAAGGAAGAGGCAGCAGAGGUUGAUCAGUUGGAGCUUCACUACGCGGUGCCGCCCCAGAAGACGAAGGCAGAUGCGGUUGGAACAAACCCACAAACCUCCGAUGAUCAAGUAAAAUUUGACCAUCGGUGUCCUGCAUCUGGUCAAUCUUCCUCUUCAUGCUGGUGGCAUAGCUGUGUGCGAGCUUGUGCAAUUCUUUAUUCUCAUGCUUGAGCCCUUUAAUCUCUUGUUUGAGACUCUGUAUUUCAGCCACCAACGAUUCAACGUGACGGGUUCGAGCAAAUAGGCGUUGGGCCAUGUUGGACACAGAACCCGCACACUGCACGCUAAGAGCCAGAGACUCCUUAACCGCCAAUUCAUCAGAUCGUCUAGCGAGCAGUCUGUUAUCUCUUGGGGUGACAAGGUUUCGGGCCACCACCGCAGCUGUCAUGUCAUUUUUCAUCAUCGAAUCCCCCACGGUAAGGGGACCGGUAGGGGAUAUGAAGGAUGGCCGCCAUAUGUUGUCUGGUGAAGGCGGAGCUGCCUCUUCACCAAGGUUCAAGUCAAAACGACGAUCGGAAGGGCCAGACAUUUUUCAGAGGUGGUGAAGAAAGAAGAGAGUCGGAAUGAUCAAGAUUAAACAAGUGCAAGAAGGGAGUGUUUACAGGAGGGAGCUCAAGUGUGUUGUGGAACAAGCUUAACGUCUCUAUAAAAAGGAAGAAAUCAAAGAGGCGCUCCUCAGAGAAGCGUCCUCUCGCAAAUCGAAGAGUCGGGGCUCCGUUCUCAAACGUCUGAUUCUUUUCUCAAAAGAGGAGUUUUCCUUUCUCAAAAAGCCGGAUUCUUUUCUCAAAAGAGGCGUUUCAUUUCUUAAAGGCUGGGCUUGCUCAGAAACCACGAGCCGAACCCCGGAUUUCAAAAGAUCAAUUUGUCCAGACGUGUCGUCACUUGUCACACGCAAAUUGCUUUGCGGAAAUCUCGGGCAGUUUGUCGAAGCACCAAUUCAGAAAUCGAAGAGGGAAAUUCAACAGUCAAAGACACGCUAGCUUUCUCAAAAGCUGGGCUUCAACCCACGGGAAAAUCUUCUUUUCCAGAUUUAUCCGCACGUGUCACAUGCUACCUCUACAAUCGACGAUGCUCAGAGCUCGAAGCGCCGAUUCCAGAUAUCAAUGAGGAAUCAGCUUUGCGGAAAUUACGGGCAAACUUUGUCAGAAAGCGCGUAAUUUGUAUUCUUCACCCAUCCACCGGCUGCCGACACUAAGUGAGAGAACAGUUCCGGUUGUGAAGACAAGUCCUAUAAGUUUCCACCUUCGCCUUCCACAGCAAAAGCACACCCUCUCAACACCUCUUCAUCUCCGAAAAUGCAUUCCCAAAGAAUCCUCUCGAGUCACUCUGUGUUCCUCAUUCCUUGGGAUACUCCUGCGAACAACCCAUUCAAAGCAAAAGUAUUUCAUAUCAUAAAGGUUGAAAGCAAGAGUAUCUCAUAUCAUGCUUUCUCCAUGUCCUUCUCCUUGUCUUUGUUUUCCGACAAGGAGAAAGAGAGCAAUCAGCCAGCAUUUGGUAUCAAUCUUCCGAUCUGGAGCCAACUGCCUGGAACCCCUUCCUGAUUGCCUACCUAGCCUUGCUCUCGAGUACUCAUCUUCAUCAUUUUAUGCUUUCUCUUCGUCUACCACAUCUGCCUGGGGGACAGUAAGGGAAGUGAAAAUGAUACCUCGAAGCAUGUGGAGACAAUUCAGCUAGGGACAAGGAGAAAGAAAGCAAGAGGUGGGCACUUGGAAAGAUUGAAGAAAGAAAUAAGGACCAACACCUUUCCCUCGUGCCUGCCCGUUGUGCAGAAGAAACAAGCAGAGAAGAAUGCAGCUUGCACAAUCAUCCCAGCGGAAGGAGUCCGAACUGAGGAACUAGAGAAGCUGCCACAUCUGCUUGGAGAACAAAUAAGGAACUGCAACAUAACCAAAGAGCAAAGCUUCGCCGUACAAUACAUAAAAUCAUCACUUGCAAGUGAAAAGCUAAGUGUCACCCUGUUCAAGAGGAAAGCUGUGGAAAGUCAACAAGCACGACCAAUGAUUACUUAUUAGUUUUAUUCAUUAUCUUUUAUCGUAAUUUUCAAUUUUUCGUUUGCAAUUUUUUUUUUUAAUUAAUUUUCUUGCGUUACUUAACUGAAUUAUUUCUUUUCUUUGCAGGAACUUUUGGUUCUUUCCACCCUUGAAGUUGAUUGCAGAAUUUUAGCUUGGGGUCAUCGCUUGAUUUUACUGCAAAUUAGGGAAGUUUUCAGUCCAAUUGUUUUAUUUUGUUUCUUAUUAUUUAUUUUAUUUUUUAUUUUUUAUUUGCAUUAUAGUGUUUUCUGACAUUGGGGACAAUGUCAAGUUUAAGUGUGGGGGUAGAAAUCUCUAGAAUUUCAUUUGUUUCUGUGUUGCUGUUUUUUUUGUGUUCUUAAUUAGUUUUGUUUUCUUUUAAAAAAAAAAAAUUUAAAUAAAAAUAAAAAAAAAAAAUCGGAAAAUUAAAAAAUCCAAAAAUAUUGUCUUGUUUCCCUUAUUGUUUUGAAUUAGAUUUUUUGUUAGUUUCCCGACCCAAUGAUAUAAUUGGAUCAAAAAUUUGAACCAUGAUCAUCAAGAACUUAGUUAACAUGUGUUUGGUGAAAUUCCUAAUUCUCUUGUUAGUUUUGUACAUGUUUGACCAUCUUUGAAAAACCAAAUGCACAUAGCCUUGUUAAUGUGAAACUAAAGUAUGACUUAAAGCUUCAUAUGUGAAUUUAGUGACCAUAUACAUCCUAUGUGAGUUUUUGAGCCUAUUGAAAGUGUGUGCAUUUUUCAUACACUCCUAUUUUUUUUUUAUGUGUGAUGAACUUAUGUGAGAUACAUCUCUAGAACUUGCGUAACGAUCUUUCGAAUUGUUUGUCAUUGAUUGCAUGAACUUGGAAAUGAUAGAGGCAUUAGGUUUACCACUAUGGCCCAAAUAACCAUGUUUCCCAAAGAAAAAUGAUAUCAUUAGUUUGCCAAUUUGAGCCGUGUUUGUUGAGCCUUUUAUUUCUUAUCACCAGAUAUGUCUACCCUUAUACCUGAAACAUUUUUCCUUACCCUUUCCAAGCGAGCAAUGCGAAAUUGUCUUAUGAGAAACGUUGGUGAAGUACUGUGAAGAUGUUUGGCAAAAGAAUAAGUGUGGGGGUAUUUCAUGUUUGUAUUUAAAAAAAAAAAAAAAAAAAAAGAAAGAAAAAGAAAGAUUGUAUACAAAGAAAAUAAAAAGUUUUUAAAGUUUCAGUUUAAGGGUGUGGUUGGAGGUGUUAGAAGAAUCGCUGGAAAUAUUGAGUUCUUAUAAAUCUAAACAAAAGAAUUGCUUGCAAUGUAGCUUGGAACUUGUGUUUUCCUAUUCUUUCAUUUCAAUAACCCUAUCCCUAAGCCUCAUUACAUCCAAUAAAAGUCCUCUUGAUUUAAGUUUUGCAAUUAUGACUGUGGAGAAGUGAUCUUUAUGCAAGCUUAUGGUAGAAAUUUCACAUUUGAUUCUUUGAGCGAAACACAUUAAAACUAAACACAUGUGUGAUUGAGUGCAUAUCCCGUGAGAAGGUCGCUAGUUUGCAUAUGAUGAUUUUAAAAAUAAAAACUUGAAAUUGCAUUAGCAUGGCUAUCUCACACACUACACUUCAAGGAUGAUUUAAAGAUUACUGCUAAUAUUUGAAUAAGGAAGAUGAACUUGGAUUAUUUCCUUGAUGCUAGCUAUGGUUCUUGAUGAUUUGUUUUCUCGAAUGAAAUUCUAUGAGGGUCACAUAGGGGGAAGCUAAUGUUUUUCUUGUUACUUCUUGUUCUAGUUUUCUUUGUUUUGCUCGAGGACUAGCAAAAGUUAAGUGUGGGGGUAUUUGAUCGGAUGAUAUUUAUAUAUAUUUUUACUUCGAAUUCACUCGUCUUUUCUUAGUUAGUUCCUUAUAUUUUUGAGCUAUUUACGUUAUUUUUGUGUUUAUAGGAUCUGUUAUGCAAAUUUACCCUUUAUUGUCAAAUGAUAAUACUAAUUUACAUUUUAUAAACAAUGUUUGUCCCUCUCUAUGUCUAUAUAUUGAAAGAAAAGCAAAAAAAAUAAUAAUAAGAAGUGAGGAGAAACGGUGGGAAAGUGAGGGUCAGAGAAAUAAAGGGAGCUGCCCUUUUGGGCAGCGUGAAAGUGGAAAGGCAGAAGCAGGAAAUAAUGAGAAGUGGGGAAAAUAAUAGAACAAAGGUGAGGAAGGAGACACGGGACCCAGGGAGGACAGCACGUGAAAGGAUCCAAGAGAGAGACUGGUGAGCAGCUGGCGUGGGAAAGUCAGAAAGGAGAGGCCACACGGGAAGCUGCCCUUGGGGGCAGCGGGAAAGAAAGAAAGCACUGCACAGGGGGGGUCUGGGAGCGGUAGAAGGGAGCUGCCCUUUGGGCAGCUCGCAGAGACGCAGGAAGGAGGCUGCCUUUGGGCAGCGUGGAAAACCAGAAAAAUAAGAGAGAGGUCAGCACGGGAAGAGAGGUCAGUACGGGAGAGAGAGGUCAGUACGGGAGAGAGAGGAUAGACGGGAGGCGCGAGUGAGAAGGAGCUUAGCUGGCCUUGCAGCUUUGAAAAACGAAAAAAAAAACAGAAACGAAAGAGGAGAGACCGGGGGGGUGUCAGGGAGAACCAAAGGCAGACAGCUGCCUUGCGGCAGCAGAUAGCACGGACAGAAGAGAGAGAGGCAGGGGCGCAGCAAUUAAGGAGCAUGCAGAAAAUAAGAGAGGGAACGCGGAAAGGAAAGAAAAGAGGGGUGUCAGUGAGCACAGCGCCAGGAGGUCAGGAAGAAGGCAGAACGAAGGAGGUCAGCGCACAGGAAGCAGAAACACUCUCGCUCUCGGUUAAAUCUUUCCAAACUUCUAUUUUAUUUCUGUUUUAAUAAUGUGUAAUUAAAUUUUAUUUUGGCUAGAGGUUAAUUCAAAACCAUGAAUAUAUUUUUAAUAUGAAUUGAUUACCUUCAGUUGUGAGUUAUAAGUUGUGAAUUCAAUUUACUUAUCCGUUCGUAUAAAAACUGAUUUGUGUAUGUUGGUUGAGAGUGCACGCUUAAUUUACAUGCAUGAAUUUGAUGCUAGAAUAUAAGUGAAUUUCACCUAAUCGUUAUGAACUUAUUUUCACAAGUAGUAAAGGUUGCUAGUCACAAUCACGUUAAGUAAAUUCUUGGCAAGAGUAUCAUGCUUUUCAUAGUUACGAAUGCCUCGUCAAUGCUUAUAGUUUUCACAAAGUUUAAUGAUCUUUGAUUGUAUCUCUAUUGUGCUUUUCACGUAGGGGACUUUUGAAGAAUGUUUUGAAUUGUUGUAUGCGUUUUCCCGUCCAAUUCAAUAACUUAAGGAAAACUUGAAGAUUAAAAAAGUGCUGUUCACGGUUAAUCUGGAGUAUUGAAAUUUACAAUUUAUUAAAAGAACAACUGGAAAUCAUUUUGUAUGCAAGUAUAACAUGUGUGGAGAAGAACCCUCUAGCUAGUCCGUCAUUUAUCAUUUUACCUUAAUUUUAUGUUUUUGUCAAUUCUGUAAUUUAAUUAAGUUUAAUUUACUUUUCAUCAAAACCAAACACCCAUCCAUUAUUAAAUUAUAUUAUUUAUUUAGUUUUCUUUAUUGUUAGUCUUUUAAUUUAAUUUCCGUCCAUUUCAGUUCCUAGUGUUUAAUUUAAUUGUUUUCAUUAUUUUGAGUCAUUUUAAGUGUGUUUCGAGUUAUUAGAGUUUUUAGCCUAAUUUUGUGUCCUUGAGUCUUGUUUUAAUAUUUUUAAGUUAAUUUAGAAUAGAUUAGCAAUCCCUCCUAAUCCCGGCCUAGAACGAUACCCUACUUACAUACUUUACUACAUUUGAUAAAAAGAGGGUUUAAUUUUGUGUGUCAAGUAAUUCUCACAUCAAAUUUUGGCGCCGUUGCCGGGGAUUAGUAACUUUGCUAAUCCUUUUAUUUUUGUUUUUGUUUAUGUUUAUAUUGGUGUUUGUGUAUUUUACUUUUGAUAUUUGAUUUAUUUUUCUUUCUUUGAUUUUAGGCACAAAUGGAGCUGAGGGAAAUUUAAAGGAAAGAUGCGUCCGGCUAAAGACGUUAAAUCAAGCGCUUCUUGGGAGGCAACCCAAGCAUUCAACGAAGGGAGACUUUGGAAUCGCUAACCCAAUCAGAUUUGCAUUUUUACACCCUUAUCUUUACUGCUUUCAUUUUGUUUUGUUUAGUUAGUUGUGUUAUUUGGUUGAUUUCUGUGAGUUUGUAUUACUUAGUUUAAGUGUGGGGGAAGGUUAACCAAAGUCUCUUUACAUUAAUUUACAUAAAAAAAAAAAACAAUUAAAAAAAAAAAAAAAAAAAAAGAUAAAAUUUAAAAUUAAUGAUAAAAAAAAAAAAAAAAACAAUUAAAAAAUCAAAAAAAAAAAAAAUAAAUAAAAAAAAAAAAAAAAAAAAAAUUUAAAAUUAAAAUUUUACAAUGAUGUAAACUAAUAGUAUUCAUUGGUCGGGUGGUGCUUCAGUAGUAGGCGGGGCUUCAGCAGUCGGCGGGGCCACAGAAGGAAGAGGCAGCAGAGGUUGAUCAGUUGGAGCUUCACUACGCGGUGCCGCCCCAGAAGACGAAGGCAGAAUGCGGUUGGAACAAACCCACAAAACCUCCGAUGAUCAAGUAAAAUUUGACCAUCGGUGUCCUGCAUCUGGUCAAUCUUCCUCUUCAUGCUGGUGGCAUAGCUGUGUGCGAGCUUGUGCAAUUCUUUAUUCUCAUGCUUGAGCCCUUUAAUCUCUUGUUUGAGACUCUGUAUUUCAGCCACCAACGAUUCAACGUGACGGGUUCGAGCAAAUAGGCGUUGGGCCAUGUUGGACACAGAACCCGCACACUGCACGCUAAGAGCCAGAGACUCCUUAACCGCCAAUUCAUCAGAUCGUCUAGCGAGCAGUCUGUUAUCUCUUGGGGUGACAAGGUUUCGGGCCACCACCGCAGCUGUCAUGUCAUUUUUCAUCAUCGAAUCCCCCACGGUAAGGGGACCGGUAGGGGAUAUGAAGGAUGGCCGCCAUAUGUUGUCUGGUGAAGGCGGAGCUGCCUCUUCACCAAGGUUCAAGUCAAAACGACGAUUGGAAGGGCCAGACAUUUUUCAGAGGUGGUGAAGAAAGAAGAGAGUCGGAAUGAUCAAGAUUAAACAAGUGCAAGAAGGGAGUGUUUACAGGAGGGAGCUCAAGUGUGUUGUGGAACAAGCUUAACGUCUCUCUAUAAAAAGGAAGAAAAAUCAAAGAGGCGCUCCUCAGAGAAGCGUCCUCUCGCAAAUCGAAGAGUCGGGGCUCCGUUCUCAAACGUCUGAUUCUUUUCUCAAAAGAGGAGUUUCCUUUCUCAAAAGCCGGAUUCUUUUCUCAAAAGAGGCGUUUCAUUUCUUAAAGGCUGGGCUUGCCUCAGAAACCACGAGCCGAACCCCGGAUUUCAAAAAGAUCAAUUUGUCCAGACGUGUCGUCACUUGUCACACGCAAAUUGCUUUGCGGAAAUCUCGGGCAGUUUGUCGAAGCACCAAUUCAGAAAUCGAAGAGGGAAAUUCAACAGUCAAAGACACGCUAGCUUUCUCAAAAGCUGGGCUUCAACCCACGGGAAAAUCUUCUUUUCCAGAUUUAUCCGCACGUGUCACAUGCUACCUCUACAAUCGACGAUGCUCAGAGCUCGAAGCGCCGAUUCCAGAUAUCAAUGAGGAAUCAGCUUUGCGGAAAUUACGGGCAGCUUUGUCAGAAAGCGCGUAAUUUGUAUUCUUCACCCAUCCACCGGCUGCCGACACUAAGUGAGAGAACAGUUCCGGUUGUGAAGACAAGUCCUAUAAGUUUCCACCUUCGCCUUCCACAGCAAAAGCACACCCUCUCAACACCUCUUCAUCUCCGAAAAUGCAUUCCCAAAGAAUCCUCUCGAGUCACUCUGUGUUCCUCAUUCCUUGGGAUACUCCUGCGAACAACCCAUUCAAAGCAAAAGUAUUUCAUAUCAUAAAGGUUGAAAGCAAGAGUAUCUCAUAUCAUGCUUUCUCCAUGUCCUUUCUCCUUGUCUUUGUUUUCCGACAAGGAGAAAGAGAGCAAUCAGCCAGCAUUUGGUAUCAAUCUUCCGAUCUGGAGCCAACUGCCUGGAACCCCUUCCUGAUUGCCUACCUAGCCUUGCUCUCGAGUACUCAUCUUCAUCAUUUUAUGCUUUCUCUUCGUCUACCACAUCUGCCUGGGGGACAGUAAGGGAAGUGAAAAAUGAUACCUCGAAGCAUGUGGAGACAAUUCAGCUAGGGACAAGGAGAAAGAAAGCAAGAGGUGGGCACUUGGAAAGAUUGAAGAAAAGAAAUAAGGACCAACACCUUUCCCUCGUGCCUGCCCGUUGUGCAGAAGAAACAAGCAGAGAAGAAUGCAGCUUGCACAAUCAUCCCAGCGGAAGGAGUCCGAACUGAGGAACUAGAGAAGCUGCCAACAUCUGCUUGGAGAACAAAUAAGGAACUGCAACAUAACCAAAGAGCAAAGCUUCGCCGUACAAUAUCAUAAAAUCAUCACUUGCAAGUGAAAAGCUAAGUGUCACCCUGUUCAAGAGGAAAGCUGUGGAAAGUCAACAAGCACGACCAAUGAUUACUUAUUAGUUUUAUUCAUUAUCUUUUAUCGUAAUUUUCAAUUUUUCGUUUGCAAUUUUUUUUUUUAAUUAAUUUUCUUGCGUUACUUAACUGAAUUAUUUCUUUUCUUUGCAGGAACUUUUGGUUCUUUCCACCCUUGAAGUUGAUUGCAGAAUUUUAGCUUGGGGUCAUCGCUUGAUUUUACUGCAAAUUAGGGAAGUUUUCAGUCCAAUUGUUUUAUUUUUGUUUCUUAUUAUUUAUUUUAUUUUUUAUUUUUUAUUUGCAUUAUAGUGUUUUCUGACAUUGGGGACAAUGUCAAGUUUAAGUGUGGGGGUAGAAAUCUCUAGAAUUUCAUUUGUUUUCUGUGUUGCUGUUUUUUUUUGUGUUCUUAAUUAGUUUUGUUUUUCUUUUAAAAAAAAAAUUUAAAUUAUAAAAAUAAAAAAAAAAAAAAAUCGGAAAAUUUAAAAAAAUCCAAAAAUAUUGUCUUGUUUCCCUUAUUGUUUUGAAUUAGAUUUUUUGUUAGUUUCCCGACCCAAUGAUAUAAUUGGUCAUCAAAAAUUUGAACCAUGAUCAUCAAGAACUUAGUUAACAUGUGUUUGGUGAAAUUCCUAAUUCUCUUGUUAGUUUUGUACAUGUUUGACCAUCUUUGAAAAAACCAAAUGCACAUAGCCUUGUUAAUUGUGAAACUAAAGUAUAUGACUUAAAGCUUCAUAUGUGAAUUUAGUGACCAUAUACAUCCUAUGUGAGUUUUUGAGCCUAUUGAAAGUGUGUGCAUUUUUCAUACACUCCUAUUUUUUUUUUAUGUGUGAUGAACUUAUGUGAGAUACAUCUCUAGAACUUGCGUAACGAUCUUUCGAAUUGUUUGUCAUUGAUUUGCAUGAACUUGGAAAUGAUAGAGGCAUUAGGUUUACCACUAUGGCCCAAAAUAACCAUGUUUCCCAAAGAAAAAUGAUAUCAUUAGUUUGCCAAUUUGAGCCGUGUUUGUUGAGCCUUUUUUAUUUCUUAUCACCAGAUAUGUCUACCCUUAUACCUGAAAACAUUUUUCCUUACCCUUUCCAAGCGAGCAAUGCGAAAUUGUCUUAUGAGAAACGUUGGUGAAGUACUGUGAAGAUGUUUGGCAAAAGAAUAAGUGUGGGGGUAUUUCAUGUUUGUAUUUAAAAAAAAAAAAAAAAAAAAAGAAAAAAAAAAGAAAGAUUGUAUACAAAGAAAAUAAAAAGUUUUUAAAGUUUCAGUUUAAGGGUGUGGUUGGAGGUGUUAGAAGAAUCGCUGGAAAUAUUGAGUUCUUAUAAAUCUAAACAAAAGAAUUGCUUGCAAUGUAGCUUGGAACUUGUGUUUUCCUAUUCUUUCAUUUCAAUAACCCUAUCCCUAAGCCUCAUUACAUCCAAUAAAAGUCCUCUUGAUUUAAGUUUUGCAAUUAUGACUGUGGAGAAGUGAUCUUUAUGCAAGCUUAUGGUAGAAAUUUCACAUUUGAUUCUUUGAGCGAAACACAUUAAAACUAAACACAUGUGUGAUUGAGUGCAUAUCCCGUGAGAAGGUCGCUAGUUUGCAUAUGAUGAUUUUAAAAAUAAAAACUUGAAAUUGCAUUAGCAUGGCUAUCUCACACACUACACUUCAAGGAUGAUUUAAAGAUUACUGCUAAUAUUUGAAUAAGGAAGAUGAACUUGGAUUAUUUCCUUGAUGCUAGCUAUGGUUCUUGAUGAUUUGUUUUCUCGAAUGAAAUUCUAUGAGGGUCACAUAGGGGGAAGCUAAUGUUUUUCUUGUUACUUCUUGUUCUAGUUUUCUUUGUUUUGCUCGAGGACUAGCAAAAGUUAAGUGUGGGGGUAUUUGAUCGGAUGAUAUUUAUAUAUAUUUUUACUUCGAAUUCACUCGUCUUUUCUUAGUUAGUUCCUUAUAUUUUUGAGCUAUUUACGUUAUUUUUGUGUUUAUAGGAUCUGUUAUGCAAAUUUACCCUUUAUUGUCAAAUGAUAAUACUAAUUUACAUUUUAUAAACAAUGUUUGUCCCUCUCUAUGUCUAUAUAUUGAAAGAAAAGCAAAAAAAAUAAUAAUAAGAAGUGAGGAGAAACGGUGGGAAAGUGAGGGUCAGAGAAAUAAAGGGAGCUGCCCUUUUGGGCAGCGUGAAAGUGGAAAGGCAGAAGCAGGAAAUAAUGAGAAGUGGGGAAAUAAUAGAACAAAGGUGAGGAAGGAGACACGGGACCCAGGGAGGACAGCACGUGAAAGGAUCCAAGAGAGAGACUGGUGAGAGCAGCUGGCGUGGGAAAGUCAGAAAGGAGAGGCCACACGGGAAGCUGCCCUUGGGGGCAGCGGGAAAGAAAGAAAGCACUGCACAGGGGGGGUCUGGGAGCGGUAGAAGGGAGCUGCCCUUUGGGCAGCUCGCAGAGACGCAGGAAGGAGGCUGCCUUUGGGCAGCGUGGAAAACCAGAAAAAUAAGAGAGAGGUCAGCACGGGAAGAGAGGUCAGUACGGGAGAGAGAGGUCAGUACGGGAGAGAGAGGAUAGACGGGAGGCGCGAGUGAGAAGGAGCUUAGCUGGCCUUGCAGCUUUGAAAAACGAAAAAAAAAACAGAAACGAAAGAGGAGAGACCGGGGGGGUGUCAGGGAGAACCAAAGGCAGACAGCUGCCUUGCGGCAGCAGAUAGCACGGACAGAAGAGAGAGGCAGGGCGCAGCAAUUAAGGAGCAUGCAGAAAAUAAGAGAGGGAACGCGGAAAGGAAAGAAAAGAGGGGUGUCAGUGAGCACAGCGCCAGGAGGUCAGGAAGAAGGCAGAACGAAGGAGGUCAGCGCACAGGAAGCAGAAACACUCUCGCUCUCGGUUAAAUCUUUCCAAACUUCUAUUUUAUUUCUGUUUUAAUAAUGUGUAAUUAAAUUUUAUUUUGGCUAGAGGUUAAUUCAAAACCAUGAAUAUAUUUUUAAUAUGAAUUGAUUACCUUCAGUUGUGAGUUAUAAGUUGUGAAUUCAAUUUACUUAUCCGUUCGUAUAAAAAACUGAUUUGUGUAUGUUGGUUGAGAGUGCACGCUUAAUUUACAUGCAUGAAUUUGAUGCUAGAAUAUAAGUGAAUUUCACCUAAUCGUUAUGAACUUAUUUUCACAAGUAGUAAAGGUUGCUAGUCACAAUCACGUUAAGUAAAAUUCUUGGCAAGAGUAUCAUGCUUUUCAUAGUUACGAAUGCCUCGUCAAUGCUUAUAGUUUUCACAAAGUUUAAUGAUCUUUGAUUGUAUCUCUCUAUUGUGCUUUUCACGUAGGGGACUUUUGAAGAAUGUUUUGAAUUGUUGUAUGCGUUUUCCCGUCCAAUUCAAUAACUUAAGGAAAACUUGAAGAUUAAAAAAGUGCUGUUCACGGUUAAUCUGGAGUAUUGAAAUUUACAAUUUAUUAAAAGAACAACUGGAAAAUCAUUUUGUAUGCAAGUAUAACAUGUGUGGAGAAGAACCCUCUAGCUAGUCCGUCAUUUAUCAUUUUACCUUAAUUUUAUGUUUUUGUCAAUUCUGUAAUUUAAUUAAGUUUAAUUUACUUUUCAUCAAAACCAAACACCCAUCCAUUAUUAAAUUAUAUUAUUUAUUUAGUUUUCUUUAUUGUUAGUCUUUUAAUUUAAUUUCCGUCCAUUUCAGUUCCUAGUGUUUAAUUUAAUUGUUUUCAUUAUUUUGAGUCAUUUUAAGUGUGUUUCGAGUUAUUAGAGUUUUUAGCCUAAUUUUGUGUCCUUGAGUCUUGUUUAAUAUUUUUAAGUUAAUUUAGAAUAGAUUAGCAAUCCCUCCUAAUCCCCGGCCUAGAACGAUACCCUACUUACAUACUUUACUACAUUUGAUAAAAAGAGGGUUUAAUUUUGUGUGCUUAUAUAUUUCGCAUCACCUUUUUAUAAUAAUUCUCUUGCAAUAUUCUUGAUUAGUUGUAUGCUCUGAAUACAUUCAUGCAUUUGCAUAUUUCAUUAUAUUUAAAUUUACCUAUUUUAUUUACAUUCAUUCUUCCUUUAUAACUUGCAUGCAUGUUAAUAUGGCUUCGUCAUCCUCGGGUGCCAGCCAGCACAUGCCGAUCUUGAUAUUUAGGGAUAUCAGGGUUAUGACGUGUCAACAUUGACCUAAACCCUUAAGGUAUGAAUGUCUUUAAGAUCAUAGAACUCCAGAGUCCAUUUCUUAAUGUGAAAAUUUUGGCUUUUCAUAUACUGUCUCUCAUCGGGCACCACCUUUAUCUCAUUUUCAUUAGUGAACUCUAGCAUAAACCAAGUUCUUACCUAGUGAUCCAAGUAAAGGUUGCCUUGAAUCAGACCUUCCACCUAUUGUUCUAAAAAUC